rnacentral:rRNA from 1 species
GGGGAAUAUUGCGCAAUGGGCGCAAGCCUGAUCUAGCCAUGCCGCGUGAGCGAUGAAGGCCUUAGGGUUGUAAAGCUCUUUCGUGGGGGAAGAUAAUGACUGUACCCCAAGAAGAAGCCCCGGCUAACUCCGUGCCAGCAGCCGCGGUAAUACGGAGGGGGCUAGCGUUGUUCGGAAUUACUGGGCGUAAAGCGCACGUAGGCGGACCGGAAAGUCAGAGGUGAAAUCCCAGGGCUCAACCUUGGAACUGCCUUUGAAACUCCCGGUCUUGAGUUCGAGAGAGGUGAGUGGAAUUCCGAGUGUAGAGGUGAAAUUCGUAGAUAUUCGGAGGAACACCAGUGGCGAAGGCGGCUCACUGGCUCGAUACUGACGCUGAGGUGCGAAAGCGUGGGGAGCAAAC